UACGGGGGGUGCAAGCGUUGCUCGGAAUCACUGGGCGUAAAGCGUCCGCAGGCGGACGCGUAAGUCGGUGGUGAAAGCCCGGGGCUCAACCCCGGAACUGCCAUCGAAACUGCGUGUCUCGAGUUCGGGAGAGGGAAGUGGAAUUCCUGGUGUAGAGGUGAAAUUCGUAGAUAUCAGGAAGAACACCGGUGGCGAAAGCGGCUUCCUGGCCCGAAACUGACGCUCAUGGACGAAAGCGUGGGGAGCAAACAGG
rnacentral:rRNA from 1 species